UGCUUUGCCUUUUCUCUCAUUGUUUAAACUGAGGUUGGAUUUAAUACUUUACCUACUUUUUUUGUUUGGAACCACUGAAUUGACAAAGUUUUGUGGAUCUGAAUCAUUAGUAUGUUAUGUAGCCAAUACCAGGUUCUAUUGAGAAGAUUUAACAUUUAGGAAAUGUAAUUAAUUACAUUUAUGCCUCUUAACUUUUUUAUAUGUUCUGUGGGUUAUCUAUUCAAUAUGGUACUUGUUUUCCUACCUUUUAUCCAGACAAUUUGCUUGGCAUGAAGUCAAACUUAUCUUGUUUGUUGAUCUUAUUGCCUAAACUUGGUAACCAAGAUUAAUUGUUUGGUUUGGCUUCUCCGUUUUCUCUGGAUUUCCUAUCUUUUUCUCUUGAAUGCCAACUUUUCGUUGCUUUCAUUUAUGUUGUCAAAAUUAGGCUGUAAAAUAUCCUUAUAGAUGUCCAAAUGAAAGCAUUCAACUGAACUCAACUUAUCCUUAUACCUAUUGAAUUGGCACCAGCUUUAUGUAUCCUUGUCAAGUAAUGGGGAUAGACUACAUGUUUUCUUUUUUAGCCAUUUUAUCUGAUCCAAAAUCAUACUCUUUGAUCUCAGUAAUGCUCUAAAGUGGCACUUGGUCAAAAUCUGGCUAACUAUUUGUAACUUAGUUUCACAAAGUCUGGAAUUCAUAAGGACCUUGCAAUGAAGGGUCAAUUGUCCAAACUGUGCAUGGAACAUAAUUCUUGAGGUUCAUUCCUUUCUUUAGUUUGCCCGAGAAGGUGAGGUCUCCAGAAAUGGAAAGUGUUCUCAAAAGAUUUUUCUGUUCAAGAGGCUUUCAUUUUGCAAUUGACUUGAAAAAUGCUGUUGAUUUUCUUGAUAAAAGAUUGAAAUACUAUGCAUUGUCUACAAUCAGCUCGCAAUGGGACUGUAUUGGUUAAUUAACUUCCAUGCGAGCACGGUUUCCAUGUCUUGUGGGUUUUGAUCUUGUGAUUGGCUAUUGCUGUCAAAUAAGUUAGUGGCAUGUGAUAGUUGACGACCAAGGAUACCAUUUCCUUGCCUUGAGAACUAACUUUAUUUGCUUCACUUGUAAGAAUCAUCCUAAAUGUGUUAAAAUCACUUGUAAAAAAACUGUAUGAAAAUCAGACAGAUCUUUUCUUUUUCUUUUUUUAUUGGCACUUUGGAACAAAGUCCUGAUGUACUGGAGCAUUGAUUUUGGCAACUUCUAUGAGGUUUGUUCGUAUUGACACUAUGGCGAUGUGAUCCCUCAAAAACUGUCUAGUACAAGUGUUUUUUCUACGCUUGAUAAGUGGUAGAUUAAUCUGUUAGGUCCACUGCUUAUUACUUGAAGGUUUUAACAAUAAAUGAAAGUUCAAGGUGGUAUGAUCUUUCAAUUAAUUUUUCAUAUCAAUCUAUUUCCAAUAAUUGAGUAGGUUUGAUGGUUGAGAAUAUGUCUUAUUUCCCUUUGUAAUUAUUGUGCUCACUAAAUUUUUG